UACGGGGGGAGCAAGCGUUGCUCGGAUUUACUGGGCGUAAAGGGCGUGUAGGCGGCGCGACAAGUCACUUGUGAAAUCUCCGGGCUUAACUCGGAGCGGCCAAGUGAUACUGUCGUGCUAGAGUGCGGAAGGGGCAACUGGAAUUCUCGGUGUAGCGGUGAAAUGCGUAGAUAUCGAGAGGAACACCUGCGGCGAAGGCGGGUUGCUGGGCCGACACUGACGCUGAAGCGCGAAAGCCAGGGGAGCGAACGGG
rnacentral:rRNA from 1 species